UGUGGUUUAAUUCGACGCAACGCGAAGAACCUUACCCAGGUUUGACAUGCCACUGCAAACUGGUGAAAGCCAGCUCCUUCGAGGGUGUGGCACAGGUGCUGCAUGGUUGUCGUCAGCUCGUGUCGUGAGAUGUUGGGUUAAGUCCCGCAACGAGCGCAACCCCUGCCGCCAGUUACAUGUGUCUGGCGGGACUGCCGGUGUUUCACCGGAGGAAGGCGGGGAUGACGUCAAAUCCGCAUGGCCCUUACGCCUGGGGCGACACACACGCUACAAUGGCCAGGACAGUGCGACGCGACCUCGCAAGGGGGAGCAAAUCGACAAACCUGGUCCCAGUUCAGAUCGAGGGCUGCAACCCGCCCUCGUGAAGGUGGAGUUGCUAG
rnacentral:rRNA from 1 species